AUUGGAAAGGUGUCUUGCUUUACUUUUUGAGGUCCUGAAGAGAGAGAGGUGAUAUACUGCAAGCAGUGCUCUAUGGCAAAAGCAGAUCUGGAGAGCAAAGCAGUUCUUGCUGAGAGACAAACUUCCAUUCUUCCACAAUGCAAACAUAAGAAUGAUAAGACAAGAAAACUGGGAAAUUUGUUGCAACAGUAUGACUCACCAGUUAUUAAUACCAUAUUUAGUGAAGAUGACCAGAAAGCUAGUGGAGGAAUACAGACUUCUUUGUUUGAAGAAAGAAACCUUAAGAAGAUGUAGUUCCAUGCAUCUCAUGAAUAAACAAUUCGAAAAGUUAUUGAAGCAUCUGAAGUGGCCAUCACAUUCUGGACAGACUUUAGGUCCAGGUGAUCACUGGAGAAUAGAUACUUCUACCUGUCUUCUCUCCAGCAGCAUAGCGGCCCAAAUGGAGAAGAUUCAUCCUGCCUUCCCUCCAACAUCCACAUUGUUUGAGCGAUACUGGAUGGAAUUCAGUACAGUCACUUUGGAUCUCAGACAUGAAAGAUCCCUGGGAUUCACUGGCAUAUGGAUGGAAAGCUAA
rnacentral:lncRNA from 1 species